UACGUAGGUGACAAGCGUUUAUCCGGAAUACUGGGCGUAAAGCGCACGCAGGCGGCUGCGUAAGUCUGACGUGAAAUCUCCCGGCUUAACCGGGAGCGGUCGUUGGAAACUAUGCGGCUUGAGGCGGAUGAGAGGGGUGUGGAAUUCCCGGUGUAGUGGUGGAAUGCGUAGAUAUCGGGAGGAACACCGGUGGCGAAGGCGACAUCCUGGGACCGGUAUUGACACUGAGGCGCGAAAAGCCAGGGGAGGCAAAACGGG
rnacentral:rRNA from 1 species